UUUACGGAGAGUUUGAUCCUGGCUCAGGAUGAACGCUGGCGGCGUGCUUAACACAUGCAAGUCGAACGGUGAAGCCAAGCUUGCUUGGUGGAUCAGUGGCGAACGGGUGAGUAACACGUGAGCAACCUGCCCUGGACUCUGGGAUAAGCGCUGGAAACGGCGUCUAAUACUGGAUAUGAGCUUUCACCGCAUGGUGGGGGUUGGAAAGAUUUUUCGGUCUGGGAUGGGCUCGCGGCCUAUCAGCUUGUUGGUGAGGUAAUGGCUCACCAAGGCGUCGACGGGUAGCCGGCCUGAGAGGGUGACCGGCCACACUGGGACUGAGACACGGCCCAGACUCCUACGGGAGGCAGCAGUGGGGAAUAUUGCACAAUGGGCGGAAGCCUGAUGCAGCAACGCCGCGUGAGGGAUGACGGCCUUCGGGUUGUAAACCUCUUUUAGCAGGGAAGAAGCGAGAGUGACGGUACCUGCAGAAAAAGCGCCGGCUAACUACGUGCCAGCAGCCGCGGUAAUACGUAGGGCGCAAGCGUUAUCCGGAAUUAUUGGGCGUAAAGAGCUCGUAGGCGGUUUGUCGCGUCUGCUGUGAAAUCCCGAGGCUCAACCUCGGGCCUGCAGUGGGUACGGGCAGACUAGAGUGCGGUAGGGGAGAUUGGAAUUCCUGGUGUAGCGGUGGAAUGCGCAGAUAUCAGGAGGAACACCGAUGGCGAAGGCAGAUCUCUGGGCCGUAACUGACGCUGAGGAGCGAAAGGGUGGGGAGCAAACAGGCUUAGAUACCCUGGUAGUCCACCCCGUAAACGUUGGGAACUAGUUGUGGGGACCAUUCCACGGUUUCCGUGACGCAGCUAACGCAUUAAGUUCCCCGCCUGGGGAGUACGGCCGCAAGGCUAAAACUCAAAGGAAUUGACGGGGACCCGCACAAGCGGCGGAGCAUGCGGAUUAAUUCGAUGCAACGCGAAGAACCUUACCAAGGCUUGACAUACACCAGAACACCGUAGAAAUACGGGACUCUUUGGACACUGGUGAACAGGUGGUGCAUGGUUGUCGUCAGCUCGUGUCGUGAGAUGUUGGGGUUAAGUCCCGCAACGAGCGCAACCCUCGUUCUAUGUUGCCAGCACGUAAUGGUGGGAACUCAUGGGAUACUGCCGGGGUCAACUCGGAGGAAGGUGGGGAUGACGUCAAAUCAUCAUGCCCCUUAUGUCUUGGGCUUCACGCAUGCUACAAUGGCCGGUACAAAGGGCUGCAAUACCGUGAGGUGGAGCGAAUCCCAAAAAGCCGGUCCCAGUUCGGAUUGAGGUCUGCAACUCGACCUCAUGAAGUCGGAGUCGCUAGUAAUCGCAGAUCAGCAACGCUGCGGUGAAUACGUUCCCGGGUCUUGUACACACCGCCCGUCAAGUCAUGAAAGUCGGUAACACCUGAAGCCGGUGGCCUAACCCUUGUGGAGGGAGCCGUCGAAGGUGGGAUCGGUAAUUAGGACUAAGUCGUAACAAGGUAGCCGUACCGGAAGGUGCGGCUGGAUCACCUCCUUU
rnacentral:rRNA from 1 species